rnacentral:rRNA from 1 species
GACGAACGCUGGCGGCGUGCUUAACACAUGCAAGUCGAACGGUAAGGCCCUUCGGGGUACACGAGUGGCGAACGGGUGAGUAACACGUGGGUGAUCUGCCCUGCACUUCGGGAUAAGCCUGGGAAACUGGGUCUAAUACCGGAUAGGACUCCUGGCUUCAUGGUUGGGGGUGGAAAGCUUUUGCGGUGUGGGAUGGGCCCGCGGCCUAUCAGCUUGUUGGUGGGGUAAUGGCCUACCAAGGCGACGACGGGUAGCCGGCCUGAGAGGGUGACCGGUUACACUGGGACUGAGAUACGGCCCAGACUCCUGCGGGAGGCAGCAGUGGGGAAUAUUGCACAAUGGGCGCAAGCCUGAUGCAGCGACGCCGCGUGAGGGAUGACGGCCUUCGGGUUGUAAACCUCUUUCAGCUAUGACGAAGCGCAAGUGACGGUAGUAGCAGAAGAAGGACCGGCCAACUACGUGCCAGCCGCCGCUGUAA